GCUGAAGAACGCAGCGAAAUGCGAUAAGUAAUGUGAAUUGCAGAAUUCAGUGAAUCAUCGAAUCUUUGAACGCACAUUGCGCCCGCCAGUAUUCUGGCGGGCAUGCCUGUCUGAGCGUCAUUUCAACCCUCAGGCCCCUAGGGCGUGGUGUUGGGGAUCGGCCAAAGCCCGCGAGGGACGGCCGGCCCCUAAAUCUAGUGGCGGACCCGUCGUGGCCUCCUCUGCGAAGUAGUGAUAUUCCGCAUCGGAGAGCGAUGAGCCCCUGCCGUUAAACCCCCAACUUUCCAAGGUUGACCUCAGAUCAGGUAGGAAUACCCGCUGAACUUAAGCAUAUCAAUAAGCGGAGGA
rnacentral:misc_RNA from 1 species